GACGAACGCUGGCGGCGUGCCUAAUACAUGCAAGUAGAACGCUGAAGGAGGAGCUUGCUUCUCUGGAUGAGUUGCGAACGGGUGAGUAACGCGUAGGUAACCUGCCUGGUAGCGGGGGAUAACUAUUGGAAACGAUAGCUAAUACCGCAUAAGAGUAGAUGUUGCAUGACAUUUGCUUAAAAGUUGCAAUUGCAUCACUACCAGAUGGACCUGCGUUGUAUUAGCUAGUUGGUGAGGUAACGGCUCACCAAGGCGACGCUACAUAGCCGACCUGAGAGGGGGAUCGGCCACACUCGGACUGAGACACGGCCCAGACCCCUACGGGAGGCAGCAGUAGGGCAUCUUCGGCAAUGGACGGAAGUCUGACCGAGCAACGCCGCGUGAGUGAAGAAGGGUUUCGGAUCGUAAAGAUCUGUUGUACGAGAAGAACGGGUGUGAGAGUGGAAAGUUCACCCUGUGACGGUAUCUUACCAGAAAGGGACGGCUAACUACGUG
rnacentral:rRNA from 1 species